UGUGCAAAGGUAGCAUAAUCAAUUGGCUUGUAAUUUAAGUCUGGUAUGAAUGUAGUUUUAGGUUAAAGCUGUCUCUUUAUGUUAAUUGAAAUUUACUUGGCCGGUGAAAAAACCGGCAGUUAAAUAAUAGACGAGAAGACCCUAGAAAUUUUAUGAAAGGUAUAGUAAUUAUAUAUUGGAUUUUGUUGGGGCGACAGAGUAACAGUUAACUUACUCUAUUUGAUGUGAAUUAAUUAUGAAAAUGUAAAUUACUCUAGGGAUAACAGCAUAAUUCUAUUAGUGUUUGUGACCUCGAUGUUGGACUAGGAAAGAUAAUAUUCAGAAGAUAUUAUUAUAGGCUCUGUUCGCGCC
rnacentral:rRNA from 1 species